rnacentral:rRNA from 1 species
UAGUGCAGCAGUUAGUUGGGCACUCUAACGGGGACUGCCGGUGAUAAGCCGAGAGGAAGGUCGGGAUGACGUCAAGUCCUCAUGGCCCUUACGGGCUGGGCUACACACGUGCUACAAUGGUGGUGACAGUGGGCAGCGAGCACGCGAGUGUGAGCUAAUCUCCAAAAGCCAUCUCAGUUCGGAUUGCACUCUGCAACUCGAGUGCAUGAAGUUGGAAUCGCUAGUAAUCGCGGAUCAGCAUGCCGCGGUGAAUACGUUCCCGGGCCUU